rnacentral:piRNA from 1 species
UAACCAAUCUUUCCAUUUCUA